UUUUUUGAUGCAAUGUUUUGAUUCUUUUUGAGCCAUGGGUAUUAGUUUUUUCCAUUUAUUGUUGAUUUUACAUGAUUCUUUUGAAGUUAGACCAAUAUUAACGUGUUCGUAUUGUUGAAUCUCAUUGGGAUGUUUUACUUGCUUUUUAUUCUUAAUUUUUGGGUUUAACUUUUAACCCUUUUGUGUUAUACUCAUGUGGUGUGUUUGUGUAAGUUGACUGUUUUUCUUCCUAGCUUAUUGGGUCCUAAAAUUUGUGAAUAUAUAUGUGAAAUUUAAAAUUUCUUAUGAGUAAAAUUGUCUUUUUGGAUUAAUACAAAAUACAUUUUCUUUUCUCAGGAUUAAAUUCUGUCCUCUUUUCAUAUACCGGCAAAUCUGUGAGCAUCAAGGCAUAUAUAUGAUUUGCACCCACAAAUGUUUUGAUACGAAAAACAUAUAUUAUAUAUGAAUAUCAUAUAUGUAGUUAGGCUGUUUGGGUCCUAAAUUUUGGUUAUCCGAAAACUGUCACUUGUGAUCAAAAUUAGACCAACCUUGUCAAUUUUUCAUAGAUGGGUCGUUGUGAGGCACAGGGAAAGUCUUGUUUUUUAUAGUUACCAUGAUGUCGCUCGUAUGAUAUCAUUUGGUUUGGCCUUUGAUAUCAAGGAAUUCUUGAUGAUCUAAUGCAGCUGUAUUAUAUUGUGAUGUUUGUUCCGAUACACUCUGAUGGUUCUAUAAUUUAAAGUUAUUGUAAUAAUGUUUACACUUUACACUAUCUUGUGAAGAGCUGUAGACCAGAAUUCUCUUUCAUUCUAAGAGACUGCUUCAGUCAGCUUCAAUUUUAAUUAACGUAUUCUGAAGCCCAUAUGGAGUAAUUGUCUGUCGUUGUCGUAGUUCACUUGAUUGUAUUAGCUCUGGUUUGUGUAUUUUCAUCUUAAUGAACAUAUUGGUUGCGUUGACAUUUGAAAGGGAAUUUGGGGCAGGUUCAAAUGAAAGUUUUGCCUCCAAAUGAAGAAGUUGUUGGGAUUACUGCCACAUGAGCUGCUGCCCAUGGGAUUGCAGUGGCGUUAGAGUUCAAACCUGUUGAGCAUCCAUCUGAACCUAUUGACAAUGAUCCAGUGGCAGAGAAACUCGAAGGUUUGGUCCAAUCCAUCUCCCCUUGUUGUAAUACAGUAUCAAUUUUGUUCCUUAUCAUUGAUAAGACUUGUUGAUUGUUAGGAUUCCAUCAAUGGUAACUCUAAGAAACGAAUUUCCAAAAUUUUGAUUGUUGCCUUAAUAGACACACACAGAGCUUUAUUUUAUUUUGUUUUGUUUUUGUCAAAAUAAAGAUAAAAUCUAUAUCUAUUUUAUAUAGAAUGAUUGAGGUACAUAUAUAAUAUAGUUAAUGUCAUAUGUAGUAACGGUAAAACCCAAUAAUCCUUACAUAAAAGCGUUAAAAUCUUGACGGGUUAUAAGGAUUUUACUGGUAUAAUUUAUGCUGGAGCAAUCUUUGUCUAUUUCUAGAGUUUGGAUUUUUGAAACAUGAAUCACAUGAGUUUGCCAAUAUGAGAGAAGUUUAGAAAGACAUUGAUGAUUGGAUCCACUGGAGCAGUCUUCCACUGACUUUUAAUCCAUUUCAAUUGUUAUCACAGUUGUCGAUAUUCGUCACCCAAAGUUCAUUUGCUUCAUGGAGUAAUCCAGGAAGUAAUUAGCCAUUUAUAUAAUGAUCGCAGUCUAAGACGACAUAUAUGGACCUAUGGUGUCGUCGAAGGUUAAUGAGACCAGUAGAGAAGUAUAAUAAUUCAUACUAGAAAACGAAUUACAGACUUGUGCUUAAGUUUAACACUCAUCCACUUUUCAGAUAAUUUUCCAUGUUAUUUGUCGGUCUUGGUAAACUUAAACUUAUUAGCCUGUUAGAGGAACACCUAUGUUAUUCAUUGUGACACUUCUUUUAUGACAUCAUCCGCCAAUCCAAAUGGUCUUAUUAGCCUGUUAGAGGAACACCUAUGUUAUUCAUUGUGACACUUCUUUUAUGACAUCAUCCGCCAAUCCAAAUGGUCCCAAUUUAUACUCUAGUUCUGUUCGUAAAUGAACUGGGAACUAGGCAGGUAUGAGUAACCUUCACACUCAUUUAAAGGCUUGAGGCAAAAAGUACUAUGAUGUAUGAACAUCUCAAUUCAUGUCAUUCAAGGUAAAAGCUAACAUCCAUAAAUACACAGAUUUAUGCUAGUAUAGGUUUUGGAGUGAGCUUGACAACAUUUGUGCCAACAGACCAGUCAAGUUCAUUUCUUAGGAAAGUGAGCCAUUUGUGCGUGAUAUUGUUGCUCCGGUUGUUAUGUUGACAUGUUGCUGGUUCCUAGGUAGCAACAUGCUGUAUGAUGGAGCUUUUCAACUCUUCCCCAGUAUAUUAUUUUCAGAUUGUGAUCUUAAAAUGAUUGCAACUAGAAGCAUAUUCAGCUAUUACAAAUAGGUGGAGCGAAUGCUUCUAUUCCACAAAUCUUUCAAGGGAAGCCCAUUCCAGGAACGUAGUACCCAUGUAUAGGGAACGGUAAAUGUGGCAGGAGCUCUACUGGAUGAGAUUGAUCAACAGAGCUGUGAUACUGCAAGAAUGAGGACAGGUAUUAAUUCCAAGUUCACUUCUGAAACAAAUAUUUGACAAAAAUGAUUUUCUUGUAGCAGAGCUUGUAGCACGUUCGAGUGCCCAGGGUCUAUCUGAUCAAUAUUUUAGGAGCCCACUAUCACUUACAAAAGUGAUGUACUCCGCAACUGUUGGGGACUGGAUUUCUGCUGUUGUGCUUCCAUGGGGUGUUCGGUCUGAUGAGUGAUGAUGUUGCGAUUGCUUCAAAUCCCUUGCAGCAGGUAUUACCUGCUCCAUUGUUUUGGGUGGGCGUUUUGUGUUUUUGUUUUUCUGCCGAAGUAUGUGGUGAGUGAUAAAAACUUACAUAUGAUGUGAUCGAGUGCCACUGAUUUGCUGAUCCCCAAGUAUCUUAGAAAUUCUUAUUCUUUUAUUGUCUUAAAAAUGCACUCUACUGAUAAGGAAUACAGAUAAUCAGGUUGUCUUCUGGGCGAAGAUCUUCUUUGGACACAUAAGCUGGAUGUAUUGAAACAACGAACAAUAGCACUCCACAUUGAUAAUAGAGAUGUGCUACUAUUGGAACUUAAUACGAGGGCAGUAAACUGUAAAUAUAUGCUUUUCAGUGAUCAUGUAAUCUUAUGUAUUUAUGUAAUCAUAUCAAUUAUUGUAUUCUUCUUGAUCAACUAAUUGUGCUUAUGUUGUCAGGAAAGUAGCCUGACUGACUUUUCCUCGUCCGGGCCACCAUUUUUGGACGAAGUCAUGGCUCUGCUGUUGGUGUAAUAGUGAAAAGGAAAACCAUUGCUGCUUCUCUAGCUGGGCUUGUUUCUGAAAAAAGACUGGAGCAUAAUUCUGGAAUCACGCAAAUUGGAUCCUUUGAAACCAAGAACUGCUUCAUCCCAUUUGGGCAAGUUAUCUACCAGCUAUCCACGAGAACAACAUCGACUCUCUUAGGACUUCACAAAGGACUGACCAAACCAUCUCAAUGCUCAAACUUAUGCAAAUUUUCCAUGCGUUUAGGAAGUUUAAAGCUUAAACGCAGUUGGGUUCUUGAUGUGUCUGUGUACGCACCUAUAUCACCCAUCACAAGGAACAGCAUGGACUGUGGCUCCAUUGCUAUAAAACUGGAGUCUGAAAUUGAUGACAGUACUAGGCUUGGAGGUUGGGUCGAGACGCAGAAUUCCAAUUCCUCGUUGUUUGCAGUUGGCAGUUAUCAUGUCUGAUACACUUGAAAAUGAGCUAGGAUGUGGGGUUGAGCUUGGGUGGAGUAACACAAGGACCAUCCAGUUGGGAUCAUUUCCAGGCAGAAGCUUUCGGGUCAGAGGCAUGGUACAAGACUUUGCUUCUGUCAAGUUUGUCUUUGUGAUCAUAUUUCAACAAUCUUGAAUAUGUUUCAUUUGAUAGGUCUGUUUUAACUUUCCCUUUAUGUGUAAACUGAAAGGGGUUAACCCUUAAUUUGUACUUUUAUUAGACUAAUGACUAAUGCUAGCAACAAGCAUAUUAGAUUGAGAUGAGAUCAACAAGUUUUGGUUCAUUUAGUUGAUGCCACUGUAUGAAGUUAUCAAGAAUGAGUUUUCAUUUUUUUUUACUUACCCUAUUGUUUUUAGGGCAUUUUGGCUAAAUUAAAUGUACCCAAACUUUGGGACAUUGAAAUAUCUUAUCCUGACAACAAAAUGGGUCCACAGAGAGAGCACCUCAAAACUCAGUAACCCACUUGAAUUCUAGACCUCUUGAUAUGCAGUUGGAGUGGUCCAGACUCCAUAGGGCACCUUGAAAACAUAUCAAACCACAGUAAGUAAAGUAAAGGGAGAUGCAUGAGACAUUGAGACCUGAUGAAAGAAUCCAAAACGCAACCUAUUAUGUGAAGCAACCUUUUUUAUCAUUAGCGAAAAGUACCAAUAUGUCCUUACUCUACCACCUGAAGUUGAAAAAAGUUCAUACUGUUAUUACUAUUUAACAUAAAACUCAGCUAAUAAGCACCAGAAGAAGAGAAGAAAAAGAAGACAGAAGAACUCUAGUCUCUUACUCUGAAUCUGAAAAACAAUUAAACAAACUAAAAAGAAAGAAAGAUCAAAAUGGUGGGAAUUUUUUCUCGAUUUUCUGGAAGUAAAUCAACUGGUCAUCGAAGAGCUCAAAGUGCAGUGGUAAGCUAAUUAAGAAUCAUUACUACCCCUUUUUCAUCACUUUGAUUUCAUCUUCUUGAUUGCUUUUUGAGUCAUGGGUGUUCAAUUUUUUGCUUUUCUAGUUGAUUUUACAUGACCCCUUUGAAUUUAGACCAAUAUUAAUCUCCUUUGAAUCUUAUUGAAAUUUUUUUAUUCAUGAAUUUUGGGUUUUAGGCCUUUUUUCUUCUAAUAAGUUUGUGCUUGUUCUUAUGUUUAUAUGUGGGUUCAUUAUUUUUCUUCCUAUCUUAUGGAAGUCUCUUACUCUUUUAUGAAAAAAACAUUUCAUUAUCUGUCCUCAUUUCAUAAACUGGUGAAUCUGUGAGCAUCAAGGGCAAGGUAUAUCAAUGAGGUGCACUGUGUACUCACAUGUAUUUAGGAACAUUCAAUUGCUUUAUUUGAAAUUAGUUAGGCUGUUUAGGUCCUAAAUUUGGUUUAAUGGGAAACUGUCACUUUUGAUUAAAAUUAGCUUGACUUUGUUAUUUUUUCCUAGAUGGGUUUGUUGUGAUUUGGCACGCGAAUUGAUCUUGUUUGGAAUUUCAUCAUGUCAUUCAUACAUUUUUAUAUUUACUGGAUUUGGCUUGUUGUAUACAAGUCCAAUGCUCAAGUAUUUUCCUGAAUUAAUAUUUAGGAAUUUUUGCUGAUCUGAAGCGCCUGUAUUAUAUUUCAAUGUUUGAUUUGUACACUCUGAUGGUUUUAUUAUUUAAAGAAAUUGUAAUAAUGUUUACACUAUCUUGUGAACAACAGUAGGCCAUAACUAUCUUUUCUCUUUCAUUCAAAUAGACUGCUUUUGUCUGCUACAAUUUGUCAUUAACCUGAUCUCAAGGCAAUUGGGAGUAAUUGUGUGUAGUUAUCAUAAUUUCCACUCGAUUGCAAGAUCUGGUGUGUGUAUUUUCACCUUUAAUGAACAGGUUGGUUGUGUUGACAUUUUAAAGGGAUUUGUGGACCAGGAUCAAAGGGAAGUUUUGCCGCAAAAUGAAGAAGUUGUUGGGGUUACUGCUACUUCUGCUGCUGCCCACGGGAUUGCUGUAGCCGUAGAGUUCAAACCCGUUGAGCAUCCAUCUGAACCUAUUGACAAUGAUCCACCUGUUAGAUGCCCUUUACCAGAGCCUUCAA
rnacentral:lncRNA from 1 species